CAGAAGUGCCCUGACGAACUGUGCAGUGCUGACCACAAGGCGAGCCAACCAUCCCUUAAGAGUUGCUUAUUCAGCAUCCUUGGCUAACUCAAAGGAAGCACCUCCCAAAAGCAGUGCUACAAGGAUGUGAGCCACAAGUACUUUUCAACGAUUAGAUAAGAUGCCUGAGAGCCACGGGCCGGCUGCUUCUGGCAUACACAGACAGUGCAGUCACUACAGUAAAGUUUUUGCAAAGGUGUGAGACAUUCUUAUGUUGCAUAGAGUAGGCAUAUUAAUUGUCAGUUUUAUAGCUUAUAAGGAUAUGUCUGCAAAAGUGAUUCCCCGCACAGUGUGUUUUACAUUCUCUCAAAGUGUCAUUAGGCAGAUUUAGCUCUGUCUUUCUUUUUUGUCACCUUCCAGACCAUCUCGCUAAUUCAUGCAGAGUGCUGCAGCAAUCGCAUUGUACAUUCUACAAAACCUGGCCCAAAGGCAGGCGGAAGGCAGUACAGAUGGACAUACAGAAGCCAUCGGGCUGCCUCAGAAACUGUGACUGAGCAUUAACGCACAUAAAGAAAGGAGCCAGGCAGAGCUGUUCAUGGGCCAUGCACACAGUUUCAUAAGCGGGCUUUCAGCACUUUUGACAAUUAUGUUUCUGAAUAC
rnacentral:lncRNA from 1 species